UGGGGAAUAUUGGACAAUGGGCGCAAGCCUGAUCCAGCCAUGCCGCGUGAGUGAUGAAGGCCUUAGGGUUGUAAAGCUCUUUUGUCCGGGAAGAUAAUGACUGUACCGGAAGAAUAAGCCCCGGCUAACUUCGUGCCAGCAGCCGCGGUAAUACGAAGGGGGCUAGCGUUGCUCGGAAUCACUGGGCGUAAAGGGCGCGUAGGCGGACUUUUAAGUCGGAGGUGAAAGCCCAGGGCUCAACCCUGGAAUUGCCUUCGAUACUGGGAGUCUUGAGUUCGGAAGAGGUUGGUGGAACUGCGAGUGUAGAGGUGAAAUUCGUAGAUAUUCGCAAGAACACCGGUGGCGAAGGCCGCCAACUGGUCCGAAACUGACGCUGAGGCGCGAAAGCGUGGGGAGCAAACAGG
rnacentral:rRNA from 1 species